UAGCCUAACCCUAGUUCCCCCUAACCUCCAUACGCCUUCCUCCUCGGAAUCCAUGCCGAUCCACCCCGCCUCUGACACUUGGUGCUGCCUGAGCGGCCAGCAACGCCGCAGCCGCCGCCCUCCUCCAACCGGGUGCUGCCACGUGGCCUCCCUGCCUCUCCCUUCGCCGCGGCCCGUGCAAGCCCAUCGGGGCCCGACCGCGUCGCUGCCCGCAUGAUGCCUCGCUCCCGAGUUCCAGAUCGGGAGAGGAGCUCCCGAUCCAGAGCCCCGCCGCCAGUGACCGGAACUCGCCGUAGAUGGGUGCUCGGUCGCCCCUGCUCCUCCUUCCCUCCUCUGCCUCGCCUUCCAUCUCCCUCUCACUCAAGGUCUUGCUUCCUCCCGUCCUCGCAGGGAACCGCCGCCACCGCCUUGGUCUUCCCCGACCGCGCCGCCAUGGAUGCCCGUCUCCGCCUCUGGUUGGAUCCGGCCGAGAACGGAGCCCCGCCGACCUCCCGUGGCCAGAUCCGCCUGCUCCCGAACCCGCCGACCUCUCCCCGUUGCCAGCGUCGUGUCGCCCUCGCCGGACGCCGCCGUUGUCCUGCUUCGAGGAGGAGCACGCCCCACUCAACCCUCUGCGUCGUUGACUGUGCCGCCAGGUGGGCCUCGCCCGCGGCCCAGCAGACCCACCCGUCCGCAUCGGGCCUCCCUCAGCCUGCUUCCUCGUCAUGGGCCGAGCCAACAUGGAGAUGGCCCCAUUCUAAGCAUCAUCAUUGUCCAUCCAAGCUCAAAAAGCAUAGCCCCCAGAUGUUGUAUUGCUACUCCCAACUCUGUCGACUCAUUCUGGAUCUGGCUUCGCACAGAUGUAUCACCAGUUGCAGCAUCUCUCUGAAUGGAGGUUCACUUCAAUUACAAUGCCUCACAUGAAACCAAUGAUGAAAAGUAUACCAUCAACUGCUAAGCUAUCCAGAUUGCCUUGGAGAUAAGAUCUGCCUACGUUGUCCAGAAUGACAUCAAGGUCUGGUAGAGAUAUUCCACAUAUUACAGUCAGAAUGUAUAUGAAAUUGACGGGUAUAACUUGGUAAAGCCAAAUAAUUUUAUUUACUUUUGCAUCAGGGCAUCAAGUGUCACAAGAGGAUGGCACGAUAAUACCAUUUCCAUUAGUUUCUUCUUCGAUACGUGCUACAAAGUGAAAAAAACCUUGAUUCCAAGGCGCUUCGCAAUCUGUAUAGCAAAUGUGCCAAUUCUGCUUGAUCCACUGUGAAUCUGCAUACGACUGGAGAUAGGUCGACAGGAAAAAACAAAGGCAUGAAAAUUCUGUUCCAGUUCAAUUCUCACAACACCAAAUUGUGAACCUAUUUUUGCAUAGAAGUGAUUACUAAAUCAUUUCAUACUCCAUUAGAGUAGCACCAUUCAAUACUUUGUUAUUUUUCAGUUAGUCAGAGCAUGUCAAUUUGGUGAUGACUAAGGAAGAUUCACAUUCUGCAAUCCUAACGAACAAAUUAGCCAGAGAGAUUUUCUUAAAGGGAAGGGACUCAACUGGGGAGAUGGCUGGUCAUGAAGACGUGCAGGCCACCUCGGGCAAGCCGGCGGCAUCGGUCAGCGACACCCUCUCUAACAUCGGGAGCAACAGCCUCAGCGGCACCAUCACCUUCUCUGUGUACCUGCGAUAAAGUUGGCAGUGGAUAAGUUCAAGAGAUAACAGAGUCUUUGCAUGGCAGCUCAGAAGCAGGUAUACACCAUUAACUUGUCCGUGGAAAUUGAUAAGUGUAUGAUUAUUUGAAACAAGUGUAUGAUCAUUGGUCACAUAGCUGACACAAAUUUGAUUUUGCAAAAAUGGAGGGAUAUUAGGAGAUAAAGUUUCA